rnacentral:rRNA from 1 species
GCCCUUCGCAAAUUACCCACUCUCGGCACGGGGAGGUAGUGACGAAAAAUAACGAGGUGGUUCUCUAUGAGGCCAACCAUCGGAAUGGGUACAAUCUAAAUCCUUUAACGAGGAACUAUUGGAGGGCAAGUCUGGUGCCAGCAGCCGCGGUAAUUCCAGCUCCAAUAGCGUAUAUUAAAGUUGUUGCGGUUAAAAAGCUCGUAGUUGGAUCUGCGACCGAGGAGAGCGGUCACCCGAUGGGUUGCUACUGCUUUUCCUGGUCUAAUUCUGCGGUUUUCCCUUGAUGCUCUUCAUUGAGUGUCUUGGGUGACCCGCAACGUUUACUUUGAAAAAAUUAGAGUGCUCAAAGCAAGCUAUCAGCUUGAAUAGUCGCGCAUGGAAUAAUAAGAGAGGAUAUGAACCUGUUUUGUUGGUAAUAGGCUCAUAUAAUGAUAGAGGGGGACAAUCGGGGGCAUUCGUAUUGCGACGUUAGAGGUGAAAUUCUUUGGAUCGUNNCAAGACNGACUACUNNGAAAGCAUUUUGCCCAANAAUGGUUUUCNUCAAUCAAAACCAAAAGUUAGAAGGUCCNAAAGGCNAUCAAAAUACCCCCCUANUUUUUACCCGUAAACGAUGCCCCAACUCNGAAAAUCCNCCCNNUGUUNAAAUGUUUGACUUUGCNGGGANUCAUUCCCGGAAACCCAAAAUUUGGGUUUCCCGGGGGGAGUNUUUGGUUGNNAAAACUUNAAACNU